CUCUUCGCUGCUCCGUAGUGACGGGGAUUGUUGUGUUGCAGAAAUCCGGCAAUCGACCUGAGGACUUGCGAGCCGCUCAGCUCCCGGGACGUUUGGAGAUCUUUCCAGCAUCUCGGGAUCAGAAGACUCAGACUCAGCCAGUGAGGAGGACUUGCAGACACUGGAUCGGGAGAGGGCUACAUUUGAGAAGUUGAGCCGACCCCCAGGCUUUUACCCUCAUCGAGUUCUUUUCCAGAAUGCCCAGGGCCAGUUUCUUUAUGCCUACCGCUGUGUCCUAGGCCCUCAUCAGGCAAGUGACAGUACAGGUUGCAUGGCUAACCCCAGCCUUUUGUACACCCAGCCUAGAUUUCCCUUAGCCUAGUGCAUUUCUCCCUGCUUCUCUUCCUUCCUGUUGGUUGUGGGUAUCACGCUUGACAACAUAGUCUUGAAUUGAAACUGGCCUGAAUUGUGGAAGGGUUAAGUGUAAUGGAAUUAAGUUUGGAAACAAACCAAUUUAGGUUUGAAUUGUGAUUCUACCACUUCAUCUUGACUGCCUCGCCAAGCCUCAAAUUUCCUUGUUUGUCAAAUGGAAACAAG
rnacentral:lncRNA from 10 species